CAAUAGCGUAUAUUAAAGUUGUUGCAGUUAAAAAGCUCGUAGUUGGACCUUGGACCUGGACAGGCGGUCCGCCUCACGGCGUGUACUGUCUUGCUGGGUCUUUCCUCUUGGUGAUCUGUUGUUUCGGCAGCAGGGAACCAGGACUUUUACUUUGAAAAAAUUAGAGUGUUCAAAGCAGGCUCGACGCCGGAAUAUAUUAGCAUGGAAUAAUAAACUAGGACGUGCGGUUCUAUUUUGUUGGUUUUUGGAAUCGCCGUAAUGAUUAAUAGGGACAGUCGGGGGCACUAGUACUCACAUGCUAGAGGUGAAAUUCUUGGAUUUUGUGAAGACUAACUUCUGCGAAAGCAUUUGCCAAGGAUGUUUUCAUUAA
rnacentral:rRNA from 1 species